UCCCUUAUAAAUUUAUUCUUAUAAAAUAAAGAGGUCUGUCAAGAUCUUGCUUUUGGAUGUUUUUAUCUCGUAUAUUGUAGUAGUUGAGGUAAAAGCUCAACUAGCUUUACAUACGUAGUCGAAACUGAGAGGUUGAUCGAUCACAAUGGACCUGAACAAAGUCCAUGAUAUACAUUACAGCAGUGAGGAAUAUUGGUCAAUGGCCUAGCGGCUGAACCAGCAACUUGGAGGAAUGUAUAGCGAAAGCUAGUUUACCGAAAAAUUUCGGUGUAACAUCAAUUUACUUGAAUAAAGUUCUGAGUAAAAUUAUGAUAAUGACAUAUUUUACUUAUGUGUCUUGACCAAAUUACGUGCCAGCAGUCGCGGUAAUACGUAGUAGACUAGUGUUAUUCAUCUUUAAUAGGUUUAAAGGGUACCUAGACGGCAAAUUAAGCCUUAACAGGAACUAACUUGCUAGAGUUACUUACGAGGGAGCUUAAAGGUACUGGUGGUGGAGGGAUGAAAUUCUUUGAUACCUUUAUUAGAAAUAAGCAGUGACGGCACAGAUUAAGGCGAAAGCAUCUCCCUAUGUGAUAACUGACGUUGAGGGACGAAGGCUUCAUAUAACGAAAAGGAUUAGAUACCCUUGUAGUUGAAGGCAGACAAUGAUGAGUGUCAUAGAUUAGAUACUAAUCUAUUCUAUAAAUGAUAAUGUAAGCACUCCACCUCAAGAGUAAUUUGGCAACAUUGGAACUGAAAUCAUUAGACCGUUUCUGAAACCAGUAGUGAAGUAUGUUGUUUAAUUUGAUAAUCCGCAAAAAACCUUACCAAGACUAGUUCAAAGUUGAACAGGUGCACUAUUCAACUUGAAUAUUUAUAUUGAAAAAUAUAAUUACAAGCGCUGCACGGCUGUCUUCAGCUAAUGUCGUGAGACUUUGGUUAGCUCCAUUAAAUUAGCGUAAACCCUUGCUUUAUUUUUAAAUAAAGCAGUUCUCCAUUACAAAGGAUAUGACAA
rnacentral:rRNA from 2 species